rnacentral:rRNA from 1 species
UACGAAGGGUGCAAACGUUGCUCGGAAUUAUUGGGCGUAAAGAGCUCGUAGGCGGUUUGUUGCGUCGGCUGUGAAAUCCCGCGGCUCAACCGUGGAACUGCCUCAGAUACUGACGGCCUCGAGGGGGGUAGGGGCGAGCGGAACGGAUGGUGGAGCGGUGAAAUGCGUUGAUAUCAUCCGGAACUCCGGUGGCGAAGGCGGCUCGCUGGACCUCUUCUGACGCUGAGGCGCGAAAGCUAGGGGAGCAAACGGGGAU